GACGAACGCUGGCGGCGUGCUUAACACAUGCAAGUCGAACGGAGAGGCCCUGCUUUUGUGGGGUGCUCGAGUGGCGAACGGGUGAGUAACACGUGAGUAACCUGCCCUUGACUUUGGGAUAACUUCAGGAAACUGGGGCUAAUACCGGAUAGGAGCUCCUGCUGCAUGGUGGGGGUUGGAAAGUUUCGGCGGUUGGGGAUGGACUCGCGGCUUAUCAGCUUGUUGGUGGGGUAGUGGCUUACCAAGGCUUUGACGGGUAGCCGGCCUGAGAGGGUGACCGGCCACAUUGGGACUGAGAUACGGCCCAAACUCCUACGGGAGGCAGCAGUGGGGAAUAUUGCACAAUGGGCGGAAGCCUGAUGCAGCAACGCCGCGUGCGGGAUGACGGCCUUCGGGUUGUAAACCGCUUUCGCCUGUGACGAAGCGUGAGUGACGGUAAUGGGUAAAGAAGCACCGGCUAACUACGUG
rnacentral:rRNA from 1 species